rnacentral:rRNA from 1 species
CGCAAACCGACACCGGUAGAUGGGUAGAGUAUACCAAGGCGAACGGGAGAACCUUCGUUAAGGAAUUAGGCAACAUGACCCCGUAACUUCGGGAGAAGGGGUACCCUCUAGGGUGUUAAAGCCCCGGAGGGUCGCAGUGAAAUGGCUCUGGUGACUGGUUAACAAAACCACAGGUCUCUGCUAAGCCGUAAGGCGAUGUAUAGGGGCUGACGCGUGCCCAGUGCCGGAAGGUUAAAGGGAGAGGUUAGCGCAAGCGAAGCUUUGAACUGAAGCCCCGGUGAACGGCGGCCGUAACUAUAACGGUCCUAAGGUAGCGAAAUUCCUUGUCGGGUAAGUUCCGACCCGCACGAACCGCGUAACAAUUAGAGCACUGUCUCGACGAAGGACCCGGUGAAAUUGAAAUGGCUGUGAAGAUGCGGCCUACCCGCAGCA